AUUGAACGCUGGCGGAAUGCUUUACACAUGCAAGUCGAGCGGCAGCGCGGGGCAACCUGGCGGCGAGCGGCGAACGGGUGAGUAAUGCAUCGGAACGUACCCCGUCGUGGGGGAUAACUACCCGAAAGGGUAGCUAAUACCGCAUACGACCUGAGGGUGAAAGCGGGGGACCGAAAGGCCUCGCGCGAUGGGAGCGGCCGAUGCCGGGAUUAGCUAGUUGGUAGGGUAAAGGCCUACCAAGGCGACGAUCCGUAGCUGGUCUGAGAGGACGACCAGCCACGACUGGAACUGAGACACGGUCCAGACUCCUACGGGAGGCAGCAGUGGGGAAUUUUGGACAAUGGGCGAAAGCCUGAUCCAGGCAUUCCGCGUGAGUGAAGAAGGCCUCGG
rnacentral:rRNA from 1 species